CAAACAAGCAGGCUCCGAUCAACCCGGAAAAAGGAAGUGCAAGAGCCUAAAAAGAGUUGUUUCGGUGUGCAUUCCUGGGAAUUCGACUUCAAAUACAACUGAUGGCAACGAUUGGUGAAAUCGUUUUAAUAACUGCAGUAAAAGAGAGUUACUCAUAAAUCAUUGCAAUCCCUACAGGUGAGAUGCUGCUCACGUUAACUGGAUAGUUUACGUCGUCGAGCCGCGCGCCACUCCUGGGCUGAAGAAGAGCUGGCGAGAUAACUCUUUGUUUAAUGCCUGGGUUGCAGCCAGAUCUUAUCUGUCCCUGUGUCCCCUCUGAAAUGACAUGACACUGAGUGUUCACCACAAUCAUAAGACAAUGGCGAGAAUAGCAUGGUAUCAAGAGAAGAUCGGUGCAUAUGAUCAGCAGGUUUGGGAGAAGUCUCUGGAACAGGCUGAACUUAAUGGCAUGGACUGUAAACCAAAGAGGUCCGGUCAUGUCAAGCCAGACCUCAUUGAUGUUGAUUUAGUAAGAGGAUCUACAUUCGGCAAGGCCAAGCCCGAUAGUCCAUGGACGGCGUUGACCCGUAAGGGCCUGGUCAGGGUGCUCCUCUUCCCCUUCUUCUUCCAGUGGUGGAUCCAGGUGACCUCCAGGUCCAUCUCUACCUGUAUCCUGUUGCUCUACUUCAUGCAAGUGGCUGCAGCAAUGUUGUACGUGGAGGUUCCUGCAGCCAGUGCUAGUGAGCAGUUGGGGCCUAUGUGUCUUAUGUUAUUGCUGGGGACAGUGCACUGCCAGAUAGUGUCCACAGUGUCCAACCGGAGCCCUUCAGUCAGUCCUGUCAGCAGCAGCAGCACCAGCCCUGCACGCAGGAGGAGGCUAAGGAAGGGUAAAGGAUUGAAGAGGACAGAGGGACAGGGGAACGAUGGUGACACUGAGCUGCAGCUUUGGCAGCUGGAGGAAAACCAAAGGUUGUACAGAUCAGAGGAGGGAAGGACAAAUCAGAGAAAGUCAGGCUUUGGGGCCUCUGAUGAGCUUUCCAGUGAGGAGGAAGAGGAUGAUAAGGAAGCAAAACCACCCACUAGUGUAGCUGGACCAACACCUACCACUGUCCUCAGGAAGAGACACCUUCACUCCUUCUCAAAUCCCUCACCACCUGAGGAGGAAAAUAGUGGAGGUGCCAAGGACACUAAGGUGAACCCUCGUGAAGUGGAGCACCUGAGGAUCGAGGGCUCGCGCCCGGCCUCUGACACAGAUGAUACUAUGUGGGAGGAUCUUCUUCAAGGGCCUGACUCCGCUUCCACUGGCAGCAGUGACAGUGAGGGGGAGGGGCGGUACUGCCCUGGCCUGACUCUUCCCCCAUCCACCACUCUCAGCAGUGAUGAUGAGAACCUACAGCAGGGCCAACUAUCGUGGCUGCAGGCGUGCCACCCAUCCAGAGACCGGGUCAGUGCCAUCAUCUGGGAGCAGGGGGAGUGCAAGAAAGCAGACAUGUCAGUACUGGAGAUCAGUGGGAUCAUCCUCACACGGGUGAAGGUGGUGGAGCAGGGCAUGGGUUACCUAGCCCUGGGGGGGUUGGUCACUGCCACACUGGUGCUGCUUCCCUUUGGCUUCCGCCUGGCACAGCGGCUGGACAUGACACGCCUGAGCUCCCUGUCUCUGGCUGAGCUGGCUGUCAUGGCGGUGGGGCCACCCGACGCCAAGACCUACGCCUUCCUCUUCAUCACCACUGUGGAGAGGCUCUGCCUUACAGGCCUCUUCUUCUUCAUGAUGUGUGUGGCAGAGAGGACCUACAAACAGAGGCUUGUUUUCGCCAAACUCUUCAACCACAUCACAUCAGCACGAAAGGCCAAAAAGUCGGAAAUACCCCACUUCAGGCUGAAGAAUGUGCAGAACAUUAAGAUGUGGCUGUCGCUCCGCUCCUUCCUCAAGAGACGUGGGCCCCAGCGUUCUGUUGAUGUCAUCGUCUCCUCCAUAUUCCUCCUGGCCCUUUCUAUCGCCUUCAUCUUGUGUACACAGCUCCUAAACAGUCACCACACAUUCCUGGACUCUGAGACCAACUGGGAGCUCAUGGUGUGGGGUUCCUCUCUCAUCCUCUUCCUGCUCCGCCUGGCCACCCUGGGCUCCGAGACCAACUGUAAAUACAGCAACGUGUCAGUGCUGCUUACCGAACAGGUAAGGCCCCCUGCUACACACACACAAUCAAGGUUCGCAUUAACGCAGGAUUCUGCAUUUUUUACGCAGAAAGGGAAAGAUAGAAAAAAAGAUCUGCUGCAUUUUAUAAACACAGAUUUUAAAAUGCUUCUUCUUGUAAAUUCUGCUCGGCUUCAGUCAGGGUUCGCUCCAAAUCAUGAAUGGAAAAGGACUAAUUUCGUGCAUCAGUUGCACUUCUACACUCGGAUGAAAUAUCUUUGCUCUUGUCAUUGGAUCACCAGACAGCGUUCUGACUGAUGUAGGCUACUUUUCUCUGGUACUUUCCUCCGGUUUAGUUUUUCUCUGGUAGCAAGUUAAAAUGCAAGAUUAACUUCAAACAAAACUUCAGGAAGUGUUGUUGGCUACAUUCUUUUUGUGAUAAACAUUAGAAAUAUGGCCAUGCAUCGUUUUUGCAAAAAAUACCUUGCUUUUUCAUUGUAAGCUAACUUACUUGUGUGGCUGCUAGCCAAAUAGUGUUACCCUUCUGUUGUCAUCUGAUGAAAACUAUUUUCUGCCAAAUGUGUUGCACAGCCAGCUACAACUGGGUAUUCCACGUGGAGAAGCUUCUAGAAACAAUGGGGUAGUUCAAUGCAGUAGUGAAAUGCAUGUGCGUGUCUCUUUGAUGUUUGAUAGAACUUGAUUGAUGUCGUUUUUGGCCAAUGAAUGCAUGAUGUCCGUUGAGUGUUCACUACUUUAACAUAGAUGUGCUAUGAUAUUAAGCUAGUGAUGUUUCAAAUGUCCUCUUUGGACAUGUUUACCGAAACAGUCCACUCACACCAACGUGUGUUAGCUGAGACAUGCACCGUAGUUCACUGCCUUGGAUGGAGAAACACAUUGCUAAUACUAGCUACACCAAGCACCUCUGCGACCUUCAUUUCUUGAUCAUGGAUAUUAUAUUCAAUCUCCUCUGGUGGACAUGUGGGUUACAACGGGUAAAGUAUUUAUCCGAUCACAAGAACGCAGCCAAGUAGGAUUCACAUCAACAUCAAAGCUCUUCUCUUUCCCUCUGGACAUGCACAGGUGCCUUCUGGGAAUAAUUAAGUGCUUUGCAAUAAAAGUCUUAAAGGGGUACUGUCAGUAAUAAUGACUCAAUAUAGUUUCAGAAUAAAAGUAUGAUACAAAGAUCUAUGCUACAACUCUAUUGAAGCAAAAACUUUAUUAAUACAUCUCCCUCUCAAUUAUUUUCUUAUUUCAGAUCAACUUGUAUCUUAAGAUGGAAAAGAAGCCCAACAAGAAAGAAAAUUUGAACAUAGUGAACAAUGUUCUGAAGCUUGCAACAAAACUAAUGAAAGUAAGGAUGUCUCUCAACUUCAGCCCAUCAUGACUUUUUUGACUUUAGUCAAAUCUACUGAGCUGAGAGGCCUCCUGAGUAACACAGCGGUCUAAGGAACUGCAUCGCAGUGCUAGCUGCGUUACUACAAAUGCAGGUUUGAUACCGGGCUGUAUCGCAGCCGGCCGCAACCCGGGAGAUCCAUGAGGCGACGCAUAAUUGGCCCAGCGUCGUCCGGGUUUGGGGAGGGUUUGGCCGGCCAGGAUGUCCUCCCAGACGCAUGCACACUGACACGGUCGCCAGGUGUACGGUCACCAGGUGUUUCCUCCGACACAUUGGUGUGGCUUGCUUCCGGGUUAAGCGACAUUGUGUCAAGAAGCAGUGCGGCUUGACGGGGUUGUGUUUCAAAGGACGCAUGGCUCUCGACCUUCACCUCUCCCGAGUCCGUACGGAAGUUUCAGCGAUGGGACAAGACUGUAACUACCAAUUUGGGAGAAAAAGGGGGUCAAAAAAAAUGAUCAUAAUAAAUAAAAAAGAAUCUGCUGGGCUGGUAGUUGUUUAUUCAGCAUAACGUGCAGUGAAAGCAUCUCUGACUGGGUUUUCAUACCAACCCUUUUACAGGAGCUUGACACCCCCUUCCGACUGCUGGGGCUGACUGUGAACCCUCUCAUCUAUAACAUCACACGCGUGGUCAUCCUGUCUGCAGUCUCCGCUGUGGUCAGCGACCUGCUCGGUUUCAACAUCCGACUGUGGAAGAUUAAGCCUUAAUGUGAACUUGCUAAACCACUAACUGUUGGAUACUGGAGACUGCCAACUCCUACCAUCCACAGCUGGCAAUCUGUGCAAAGUGUGCAAACCUACUGAGUGAUCGCCUAUGCAUCUCUGUGCCUUCCCAGAAACAUUGAACUUUAAAUUACACAAUACAAUUGUGGUCAUACACAAGCAUGAGCGCUUUACAAUCAAUGAUACACACAUCCCUGGCUACGGAAUCAUUGUAGCCUGAACUGAUCUGCUGCAGCAGUUCCAGUGCCAAGACCUGGACCUGGCCACUUCCUGGUUCUUACUGAGAAACAGUAGCCAAUGGGUGCCUUCUGAACACUGAGAAAUUUGUUGGCCAUUUGAAUGUGAACCAUUUCAAGAUGUGGAGAAAGGAUGGAAUAGGAAACAAGAAUGAACUAACUGUUAUGAAAGAAUUUGACAUUCCAGCGUGGUUUGACAUGUACUCGGCUGUUAGACAGCGUAAAAUACUUUUAAGAUGAAAAAUGUUGAUACAGAUCUUCAAAAUUGGUUAAUUGCUUUGUUUUAUAGGAAAUAUUUAACUCUACUCUAAACCAAUGUUGUGAUAUUUUAAGGGCUUUUAUUGGGGCUUUAUUUAUUUGGGGUUUGUCAUUAUUUCAUUUCAUUACUGACAUAAUAGUACACAUAGAUUGUAACAUUUGGACCGCCAUCAUGACCUUAGCACUGAAGACCAUUAUGUUCUGCUAAGCAACUAUUCACAGAUAGUGUAGUUUGAUUUAAAAAAAUGUUAAUAGGCUAUAAAUUAGCUUACGUUUUAUUUCCUUUGAUAAUAAAUCUUUCACAAUUAUUUUAUUACUGCUGUCUGGUCAGUGCACAUACUUUUCUCACUUCCACUGCCUACAUAAUAUACACAGUUAUGUAAUGUACCUAAUUAAAACAUACUUUAAAGAA